rnacentral:rRNA from 1 species
CGGUGGAGCAUGUGGUUCAAGUCGACGCAACGCGAAGAACCUUACCCAGGCUUGACAUCCCGGGAAUCUGCUGGAGACAGCGGAGUGCCCUUCGGGGAGCCCGGUGACAGGUGCUGCAUGGCUGUCGUCAGCUCGUGUCGUGAGAUGUUGGGUUAAGUCCCGCAACGAGCGCAACCCUCGUCCUUAGUUGCUACCAUUAAGCUGGGCACUCUAGGGAGACUGCCGGUGUUAAACCGGAGGAAGGUGGGGAUGACGUCAAGUCCUCAUGGCCUUUAUACCUGGGGCUACACACGUGCUACAAUGGCCGGUACAAUGCGUCGCGAAGCCGCGAGGUGGAGCUAAUCGCAAAAAACCGGUCUCAGUCCGGAUUGGAGUCUGCAACUCGACUCCAUGAAGUCGGAAUCGCUAGUAACCGCGUAUCAGCAUGACGCGGUGAAUACGUUCCCGGGCCUUGUACACACCGCCCGUCACACCAUGGGAGUUGAUUGCAGUAGAAGUCACUGAGCCAACCCGCAAGGGAAGCAGGUGCCUAA